GCCCGACUAGCUCACCGGUAGAGCGCCUCACUAGUAAAUAUUCUUACAUGGAAUAAUUAUACCUUGCGAUGAGGAGGCAACAGGUUUGACUCCUGUGUUGGGCA